rnacentral:rRNA from 1 species
GUGGGGAAUAUUGGACAAUGGGCGAAAGCCUGAUCCAGCCAUGCCGCGUGUGUGAAGAAGGUCUUCGGAUUGUAAAGCACUUUAAGUUGGGAGGAAGGGCAGUAAGUUAAUACCUUGCUGUUUUGACGUUACCGACAGAAUAAGCACCGGCUAACUUCGUGCCAGCAGCCGCGGUAAUACGAAGGGUGCAAGCGUUAAUCGGAAUUACUGGGCGUAAAGCGCUCGCAGGUGGUUUUGUAAGUUGGAGGUGAAAUCCCCGGGCUCAACCUGGGAACUGCAUCCAAAACUGCAUGACUAGAGUACGGUAGAGGGUAGUGGAAUUUCCUGUGUAGCGGUGAAAUGCGUAGAUAUAGGAAGGAACACCAGUGGCGAAGGCGACUACCUGGACUGAUACUGACACUGAGGUGCGAAAGCGUGGGGAGCAAACAGGAUUAGAUACCCCUGUAGUCC